rnacentral:rRNA from 1 species
GAGUUUGAUCCUGGCUCAGAACGAACGCUGGCGGCAUGCCUAACACAUGCAAGUCGAACGCGUGUAGCAAUACACGAGUGGCGCACGGGUGAGUAACGCGUGGGAACCUGCCCAGUGGUAGGGAAUAACUGCGGGAAACUGCAGCUAAUACCCUAUACGCCCUACGGGGAAAGUUUUUCGCCAUUGGAGGGGCCCGCGUCGGAUUAGCUAGUUGGUGAGGUAAGAGCUUACCAAGGCGACGAUCCGUAGCUGGUCUGAGAGGACGAUCAGCCACACUGGGACUGAGACACGGCCCAGACUCCUACGGGAGGCAGCAGUGGGGAAUAUUGGACAAUGGGGGCAACCCUGAUCCAGCAAUGCCGCGUGAGUGAAGAAGGCCUGCGGGUUGUAAAGCACUUUCAGAGGGGAAGAAAAAAUCGGAUCUAACACAUCCGAUCUUGACGUUACCCUUAGAAGAAGCACCGGCUAACUCCGUGCCAGCCGCCGCCGUAAG